rnacentral:rRNA from 1 species
AACGAACGUUGGCGGCGUGGAUUAGGCAUGCAAGUCGCGGGAAUCCAGCAAUGGGGAACCGGCGUAAGGGGCAGUAAUGCGUGGGUACCUACCGCGGGGUUCGGGAUAGCCCUUCGAGAGAAGGGGUAAUACCGGAUGAUGUGGUGACACCAAAGUUCCGGCGCCCUGUGAGGGGCCCACGUGAUAUUAGCUAGUUGGUGGGGUAACGGCCCACCAAGGCAUAGAUGUCUAGCGGGUGUGAGAGCGCGACCCGCGCCACUGGCACUGAGACACUGGCCAGACACCUACGGGUGGCUGCAGUCGAGGAUCUUCGGCAAUGGGGGGCAACCCUGACCGAGCGACGCCGCGUGUGCGAUGAAGGCCU